rnacentral:rRNA from 1 species
GACAGUUCGGUCCCUAUCUGUUGUGGGCGCAGGAAGUUUGAGUGGGGCUGACCUUAGUACGAGAGGACCGGGUUGGACGAACCGCUGGUGUACCGGUUGUUUCGCCAGAAGCACCGCCGGGUAGCUAUGUUCGGAUGGGAUAAGCGCUGAAAGCAUCUAAGCACGAAGCCCACUCCAAGAUAAGAUCUCCCACCGGGUAACCGGGUAAGACCCCAGAGAGACCAUCUGGUUGAUAGGCCGCAGGUGUAAGAGAGGCAACUCUUUGAGCUGAGCGGUACUAAUCGGUCGAGGGCUUGACCUU